rnacentral:misc_RNA from 1 species
CCUCCUUAACGAAAGCUGGAGGUUUCGGUCAGAGUCCACACGAAUUACUUGGUUAACGUGAAGAGAGCAAAAGGGUCUUUGCAGGCCCGACUGGUCUUGUCGAACCGACAAGCAAAACCGGGUCUGUAGCUCAGGUGGUUAGAGCGCACCCCUGAUAAGGGUGAGGUCGGUGGUUCAAGUCCACCCAGACCCACCAGAAUCGAUCAGCUCGUCGUUGCGCCAAGACUCGCAUACUGAUUGUAUGCUUCNCCUUGACGCGCCUAAAUCUGACCGAUUUUCCGAGUAAGGCUUAAGGUGACUGCCUGCUUGGUGAGUGGUUUCUAUUCGGGGCCAUAACUCAACUGGGAAAGCGCCUGCCUUGCACGCAGGAGGUCGGCGGUUCCAUCCCGCCUGGCUCCCCAACUACCCUGAUGUUUGCUGACAAAAUGAAGUGUGCAAAAACAAGCGUUUCACUUUGAUGAAGCUCUUCUUUUCUGAUCACUGGGUCAAAAUUGCUCUUUAAA